rnacentral:rRNA from 1 species
UACGUAGGGUGCGAGCGUUGUCCGGAAUUAUUGGGCGUAAAGAGCUUGUAGGCGGUUUGUCGCGUCUGCUGUGAAAUCUCAAGGCUCAACCUUGAGCUUGCAGUGGGUACGGGCAGACUAGAGUGUGGUAGGGGAGACUGGAAUUCCUGGUGUAGCGGUGGAAUGCGCAGAUAUCAGGAGGAACACCGAUGGCGAAGGCAGAUCUCUGGGCCGUAACUGACGCUGAGAAGCGAAAGCAUGGGGAGCGAACAGG